rnacentral:rRNA from 1 species
AGUGAACGCUGGCGGUAGGCCUAACACAUGCAAGUCGAACGGCAGCACAGUAAGAGCUUGCUCUUACGGGUGGCGAGUGGCGGACGGGUGAGGAAUACAUCGGAAUCUACUUUUUCGUGGGGGAUAACGUAGGGAAACUUACGAUAAUACCGCAUACGACCUACGGGUGAAAGCAGGGGAUCUUCGGACCUUGCGCGAUUGAAUGAGCCGAUGUCGGAUUAGCUAGUUGGCGGGGUAAAGGCCCACCAAGGCGACGAUCCGUAGCUGGUCUGAGAGGAUGAUCAGCCACACUGGAACUGAGACACGGUCCAGACUCCUACGGGAGGCAGCAGUGGGGAAUAUUGGACAAUGGGCGCAAGCCUGAUCCAGCCAUACCGCGUGGGUGAAGAAGGCCUUCGGGUUGUAAAGCCCUUUUGUUGGGAAAGAAAAGCAGCAGGUUAAUACCCCGCUGUUCUGACGGUACCCAAAGAAUAAGCACCGGCUAACUUCGUG